GCCGCCUUAGCUCAGUUGGUAGAGCAACACACUCGUAACGUGUAGGUCCGGGGUUCAAAUCCCCGAGGCGGCUCCA
rnacentral:tRNA from 1 species